GUGAGGAAUUUUCCGCAAUGGGCGAAAGCCUGAUCCAGCCAUGCCGCGUGAACGAUGAAGGCCUUCGGGUUGUAAAGUUCUUUAGCCGAUGAUUAUAAUGACUGUAGUCGGAAAAUAAGCCCCGGCUAACUUCGUGCCAGCAGCCGCGGUAAUACGAAUGGGGCGAGCGUUAUUCGGAAUCACUGGGCGUAAAGCGUGCGUAGGCGGUUUUGUAAGUUAGGAGUGAAAGCCCAGGGCUCAACCUUGGAAUUGCUCUUAAAACUGCAAGGCUCGAAUCUCGGAGAGGAUAGCGGAAUUUCCAGUGUAGCAGUGAAAUGCGUAGAUAUUGGAAGGAACACCAGUGGCGUAAGCGGCUAUCUGGACGAGUAUUGACGCUGAGGCACGAAAGCGUGGGGAUCAAACAGGAUUAGAUACCCGAGUAGUCC
rnacentral:rRNA from 1 species